GACGAACGCUGGCGGCGUGCUUAACACAUGCAAGUCGAACGGUGAAGCGCCUUCCUUUUUGGUGGGUGUGGAUGAGUGGCGAACGGGUGAGUAACACGUGAGUAACCUGCCCCCUUCUUCUGGAUAACCGCAUGAAAGUGUGGCUAAUACGGGAUAUUCUGUGUCUGUCGCAUGAUGGGUCUGGGAAAGAUAUUGUUUCGGUGGGGGAUGGGCUCGCGGCCUAUCAGCUUGUUGGUGGGGUGAUGGCCUACCGAGGCGGUGACGGGUAGCCGGCCUGAGAGGGUGGACGGUCACACUGGGAAGGAGACACGGCCCAGACUCCUACGGGAGGCAGCAGGGGGGAAUAUUGCACAAUGGGCGCAAGGCUGAUGCAGCGACGCCGCGUGAGGGAUGGAGGCCUUCGGGUUGUGAACCUCUUUCGCCAGUGAAGCAGGACUGCCUCGUGUGUGGGUGGGUUGACGGUAGCUGGAUAAGAAGCGCCGGCUAACUACGUG
rnacentral:rRNA from 1 species